rnacentral:rRNA from 1 species
UGGGGAAUUUUGGACAAUGGGCGAAAGCCUGAUCCAGCAAUGCCGCGUGUGUGAAGAAGGCCUUCGGGUUGUAAAGCACUUUUGUCCGGAAAGAAAUCCUUGGCUCUAAUACAGUCGGGGGAUGACGGUACCGGAAGAAUAAGCACCGGCUAACUACGUGCCAGCAGCCGCGGUAAUACGUAGGGUGCAAGCGUUAAUCGGAAUUACUGGGCGUAAAGCGUGCGCAGGCGGUUUGCUAAGACCGAUGUGAAAUCCCCGGGCUCAACCUGGGAACUGCAUUGGUGACUGGCAGGCUAGAGUAUGGCAGAGGGGGGUAGAAUUCCACGUGUAGCAGUGAAAUGCGUAGAGAUGUGGAGGAAUACCGAUGGCGAAGGCAGCCCCCUGGCAAGUACUGACGCUCAUGCACGAAAGCGUGGGGAGCAAACNGGAUUAAUNCCCUGGUAGUCCACGCCCUAAANGAUGUCAACUAGUUGUUGGGGAUUCAUUUCCUUAGUAACGUAGCUAACGCGUG